rnacentral:rRNA from 1 species
AGCGAACGCUGGCGGCAGGCCUAACACAUGCAAGUCGAACGAACUCUUCGGAGUUAGUGGCGGACGGGUGAGUAACACGUGGGAACGUGCCUUUUGGUUCGGAAUAACUCAGGGAAACUUGUGCUAAUACCGAAUGUGCCCUUCGGGGGAAAGAUUUAUCGCCAUUAGAGCGGCCCGCGUCUGAUUAGCUAGUUGGUGAGGUAACGGCUCACCAAGGCGACGAUCAGUAGCUGGUCUGAGAGGAUGACCAGCCACACUGGGACUGAGACACGGCCCAGACUCCUACGGGAGGCAGGAGUGGGGAAUCUUGCGAAAUGGGCGAAAGCCUGACGCAGCCAUGCCGCGUGAAUGAUGAAGGUCUUAGGAUUGUAAAAUUCUUUCACCGGGGACGAUAAUGACGGUACCCGGAGAAGAAGCCCCGGCUAACUUCGUG